rnacentral:rRNA from 1 species
AUAGGGGUCAGUUUGGCUGGAUCGGUGACAGGUGCUGCAUGGCUGUCGUCAGCUCGUGUCGUGAGAUGUUGGGUUAAGUCCCGCAACGAGCGCAACCCUUGUCCUUGGUUGCCAGCAUUCAGUUGGGCACUCUAAGGAGACUGCCGGUGUCAAACCGGAGGAAGUGGGGAUGACGUCAAGUCCUCAUGGCCCUUAUGUCCAGGGCUACACACGUGCUACAAUGGCCGGUACAAAGGGGCGCAAGACCGCGAGGUGGAGCAAAUCCCAAAAAACCGGUCUCAGUUCGGAUUGGAGUCUGCAACUCGACUCCAUGAAGUUGGAAUCGCUAGUAAUCGCGUAUCAGCAUGACGCGGUGAAUACGUUCCCGGGCCUU